rnacentral:lncRNA from 1 species
UACACAGCAGCCAUGAACCACCCAACUCUAACAAUUCUCAACUCACUAUCACAUAUGCUGGUACCAUGUCCAGCUAUGUGUUUCAGAUGGUUCAGACUCUGCAUUGUUUAUGGCUUUUGACGGUGAGAUGACAAAACUCACCAACACCCGGGCUGAUGAUGUUGUAUAACUUAUGGUCCCAUUAUCCAAUAACCAUUUUAAUUCUUCUAUCCUACCCUUGACCACCACAUCCACCUAAAAUCUUAAUGCUAGCUUUAUGGCAGGAGCAUGAUGUUACAGACCCAGAUCAAAGGUCACUUCCCAGUGCAUUAAGGACUUGGUCGGCCGCACUUACACCUUUCACUUGAAGCUUUCCUCAUUCAACUUCUCCACCAAGCAUGAA